rnacentral:misc_RNA from 1 species
AUAAAACAAAACGGCUCGUCUGAAAUGCCUGAGUGUACCCCGCUUUGCGGCGUAUUCGGUGUGAUACAUCUUCACCGGAGUUGAUCCUUUAUGGGUCGCGUCUGUAACGAGUGUGGCUCUAUGCUUCGAACCGUCUUCUGAUCGAGACAAAUCUCUGACAAUUUGACCUCAAAUCGGGUGGGACUACCCGCUGAACUUAA